rnacentral:rRNA from 1 species
UAAACUACUCUCGGCAACGGAUAUCUUGUCUCUCGCAUCGAAGAAGAAAGUAACGAAAUGAAAUACUUGGUUUGAAUUGAAGAAUCCCACCACCCAUCGAGUCUUUUCACGCAAGUCGCGCCCGAACCCAUUAGGUUGAGGGCAGGCCUGGCUGGGCGUCUCACG